AGAGUUUGAUCAUGGCUCAGGACGAACGCUGGCGGCGUGCUUAACACAUGCAAGUCGAACGGUGAACCAGAGCUUGCUCUGGGGAUCAGUGGCGAACGGGUGAGUAACACGUGGGCAACCUGCCCCAGACUCUGGGAUAACCCCGGGAAACCGGAGCUAACACCGGAUAUGACCACUUCGGACAUCCGAUGGUGGUGGAAAGUUUUCGGUCUGGGAUGGGCCCGCGGCCUAUCAGCUAGUUGGUGGGGUAAUGGCCUACCAAGGCGACGACGGGUAGCCGGCCUGAGAGGGCGACCGGCCACACUGGAACUGAGACACGGUCCAGACUCCUACGGGAGGCAGCAGUGGGGAAUAUUGCACAAUGGGCGAAAGCCUGAUGCAGCGACGCCGCGUGAGGGACGACGGCCUUCGGGUUGUAAACCUCUUUCAGCAGGGACGAAGCGAAAGUGACUGUACCUGCAAAAGAAGCACCGGCUAACUACGUG
rnacentral:rRNA from 1 species